AGUGAACGCUGGCGGCGUGCCUAAUACAUGCAAGUCGAACGGAGAGUCGCACGGGUGUGUAAUAUAUAGCUAAUCUGCCCCUUGCUGGAGGAAAACAGUUAGAAAUGACUGCUAAUACUCCAUACCAAGGGAUGAGACUAUAUCGUAUCAGCUAGUCGGUGGGGUAACGGCCUACCGAGGCUAUGAUGCGUAACUGGUCUGUGAGGAUGGUCAGUCACAUUGGAACUGCGACACGGUCCAAACUCCUACGGGAGGCAGCAGUAGGGAGUAUUGCGCCAUGAGGGAAACCCUGACGCAGCAACGCCGCGUGGAGGAUGACACUUUUCGGAGCAUAAACUCCUUUUGUUAUGGAAGCGGUACCUAACGAAUAAGCACCGGCUAACUCCGUGCCAGCGACCGCGGUAAUAC
rnacentral:rRNA from 1 species